GAAAUGCGAUAAUUAAUGUGAAUUGCAUUAUCUCGGGAAUCAUCGAGUUUUUGAACGCAUAUUGCACCUUUAAUUACCUUUUGGUCUUUAAAGGUAUACUUGUUUGAGUAUCAUUUUCAACUCCUUUAUUAUUAAAGGGAAUUGAGGGAUUAAAAAAGAGAAUGUUUAACCCUUUAAAUGAAUAUAUGAAAAGUUGUUUGCAUCUCUCCUUUAGAGUAUUUUUAUUACUUGCUAUAUAUUAUUAUAUAAUAGUAAUAAAUAUACGCAAGGAAAGAGUCCUUUUCAUUAAAACGAGGGAGUUUCAUGUUUUUUGAUCUCAAAUCAAGUAAGAUUACCCGCCGAACUUAA
rnacentral:misc_RNA from 1 species